rnacentral:rRNA from 1 species
UACGCAGGGUGCAGGCGUUAAUCGGAAUUACUGGGCGUAAAGCGUGCGCAGGCGGUUCGUUGUGUCGGUGGUGAAAUCCCCGGGCUUAACCUGGGAACUGCAUUUGUGACUGCACGGCUAGAGUGUGUCAGAGGGGGGUAGAAUUCCACGUGUAGCAGUGAAAUGCGUAGAUAUGUGGAGGAAUACCGAUGGCGAAGGCAGCCCCCUGGGAUAACACUGACGCUCAUGCACGAAAGCGUGGGGAGCAAACAGG